rnacentral:lncRNA from 1 species
GAGAGAAAGUAUGUGAAGAGCUUAAUCCGCAGCGGGUCUAUCUGUGCGCGUGUGUGCGCAGAGCCUGGCCUCCCAGGGCCGGUCACCCCUGCGGCUCAGGGCUCUGUGUGUGUGUGUGUGCACUUGUGUGUGCACGUGCGUGUGCACGCCUGAGACCGUGGUGGGCGUGGAGUCCAGACAUGGCGGGGCUGCCUUCAGGGCGAGUCCUGGUCUCAGCGGGCGCUGCGGUGGGCUGUCCAGACACCUGAGAAAAGCUCGGCUCGCUAGAUCGCUAGAACGCCCGCCCCCCAGGCCACCUGCCCCGGCUCCAGGAGGGGCCGCCCCUUCCUUCCUCCUGGGGAUGCGGAGAACAACACAGCCACCCAGGAAACACGUGUGCGCUGGGCCAUGGGGGCGGCGGAGGUGCUUGGAGCGGGUGGUCGACGCACUUUUUCUAGAUCCAGCCCCAGAAGGAACGGGGGCCGCCCUUCCGGGCUCUGCAUGUGACAAUUGCCAAGGCCCCGAGGUGGCCAGGAGUCUGUGCGGGGAGAGGAUAUUGGAACUGGAACCGUGGAUCUGGGAACUGACCCUCAGCUUUAUCAGGUUCCCCUGACGGCUGAUCACCUUGAUUGAGUCAAAUGCCACCUAAAACCCCAAAUCUCUAAAUUAUGGGGAAGACCUGGCCAAGGAAAGCAAAACCCGGACAAUUCAAGGGACUCCCUUUUCCAGCGUCUCAGACAGCAAGGGGACUUCCAAAUCAAGGAUUUGAUAAGCACAGUUGAUGAUUAAACAGAACGAGCUGGCCACCGGGAGAGCUCUGACUUGCUCCGACAAAGGCCCUUUGAGCUUGGUGGAAAACCAGAAUCUCUUUUUCUGUUGUUGUUUGUCUCAGCCUUUUCUGUGGGGGACCUGGAUUCAAGUCUUGAAAGCACUGAGGUUUGCGGGAAGGUUCUGUCAGUUGGGGCAUCUGUCCUUGGUGUUAAUUGCCGAGGGGUCUAAAUGAAACGGUCACCCGACCAGCCAAGGACACUUUUGGAAA